rnacentral:ribozyme from 1 species
UUUUUGUCCAAGCAGCCCACCGGCGACUCACAACAGCACCACGAGAUGCUCGCCGACCCAUCCAACCAGUUUCUGGUCAUGACGUGUUACAAAUACAGAGAUAAAGGGGAAA